rnacentral:snRNA from 1 species
AAGCCUCUUUGGGCUGCAG